rnacentral:rRNA from 1 species
AGAGUUUGAUCCUGGCUCAGGAUGAACGCUAGCGGCAGGCCUAACACAUGCAAGUCGAGGGGCAUCACGAGGUAGCAAUACUUUGGUGGCGACCGGCGCACGGGUGCGUAACGCGUAUGUAACCUACCUAUAACAGGGGCAUAACACUGAGAAAUUGGUACUAAUUCCCCAUAAUAUUCGGAGAGGCAUCUCUCCGGGUUGAAAACUCCGGUGGUUAUAGAUGGACAUGCGUUGUAUUAGCUAGUUGGUGAGGUAACGGCUCACCAAGGCAACGAUACAUAGGGGGACUGAGAGGUUAACCCCCCACACUGGUACUGAGACACGGACCAGACUCCUACGGGAGGCAGCAGUGAGGAAUAUUGGUCAAUGGGCGGAAGCCUGAACCAGCCAUGCCGCGUGCAGGAAGACGGCUCUAUGAGUUGUAAACUGCUUUUGUACGAGGGUAAACUCACCUACGUGUAGGUGACUGAAAGUAUCGUACGAAUAAGGAUCGGCUAACUCCGUGCCAGCAGCCGCGGUAAUACGGAGGAUCCAAGCGUUAUCCGGAUUUAUUGGGUUUAAAGGGUGCGUAGGCGGCAGAUUAAGUUAGAGGUGAAAUUCCGAGGCUCAACCUUGGCACUGCCUCUGAUACUGGUUUGCUAGCGAGUAGAUGCUGUAGGCGGAAUGUGUGGUGUAGCGGUGAAAUGCAUAGAGAUCACACAGAACACCGAUUGCGAAGGCAGCUUACAAAUCUAUAUCGGACGCUGAGGCACGAAAGCGUGGGGAGCAAACAGGAUUAGAUACCCUGGUAGUCCACGCAGUAAACGAUGAUAACUCGUUGUCGGCGAUACACAGUCGGUGACUAAGCGAAAGCGAUAAGUUAUCCACCUGGGGAGUACGUUCGCAAGAAUGAAACUCAAAGGAAUUGACGGGGGCCCGCACAAGCGGAGGAACAUGUG